rnacentral:rRNA from 1 species
AGAGUUGAUCAUGGCUCAGAACGAACGCUGGUGGCGUGUCUUAUACAUGCAAGUCGAGCGAGGCAGCAAUGCCUAGCGGCGAACGGGUGAGUAACGCGUAAGCAAUCUGCCCCAUAUCAGGAAAUACCCGUGCCAACGCGCGGUUAAUGUCCAGGAGCGUGGCCUUCCGCAUGGGAGGUUGACAAGAGAUUUAUCGGUAUGGGAUGAGCUUGCGUCCGAUUAGCUAGUUGGCGGGGCAACGGCCCACCAAGGCGACGAUCGGUAGCCGGCCUGAGAGGGUGAUCGGCCACAUUGGGACUGAGAUACGGCCCAGACUCCUACGGGAGGCAGCAGUAGGGAAUAUUGCACAAUGGGGGAAACCCUGAUGCAGCAACGCCAACGUGUGGGAAGAAGCAUUUCGGUGUGUAAACCACUGUCGUGAGGGAAUAAGGCGUCUUCUCGGAGACGUUGAAUGUACCUCGAAAGGAAGCACCGGCAAACUUCGUGCCAGCCGCGGC